UAUGGUGACACCCGGGAAGAAGCUGUGCAUCCACACAGCCCACCUUUCAGUCAGGUGUUUACAGGGGCCUUGCUACAGCUGGAGUGGGAAAAUAGCAGUAUUUUCACUCAUUCCCUUCUAAAAGUUGUUUGUUUGUGUGUUUUUCAGGAAAACAACAUUUCCAAAACCUGUUCUCUAUUUGCUCUCCUGCAACACUGAGGAGGGACAAGGAAAUGUUGAUCCUGAACUGCCAGGCACCCACAGGACACGCUUGCCUGGUCUACACCCAAACUUUGCAUUUCCAGAUGCCCUGAAACGCAAUUUCAGUUCAGCAGCAAGAAGAAACUCAGUAUCUACAAUACAAAAGUACCACUGCAGGGAGCACCGGGCUCCAGUUCUGGCAGAGACCCCGUGCCACAAGGUAGCAGGGACAGCAGUGGAGAAAUGAGGACCAGCAAUUGCAAGUGACAUGUUCCUGAGUGCUCCUCCAGAGACGCAAAAAGAAUGAGCUGAAAGUGUGUGUCUCGCUGCCUGCUCACAGCAUAUUCAUCACCUGGGCCUUCAGAUCAGGGAAUUUUUCCUGUAAAGGUCUCCAACAGCUGUAGGUGGCUGGUGCCCAGGAAGACACAAGGGCUGUGUUUCCAAGGUCUCUCAUGCUGGCUGGUCUCUCCCCUCCCUCAUUUGUGUGAUGUGUUGCAUGUAACUUGCUCCAGAGGGGGAAACAUCCCAGAAAAUAUUUUGUUUGUUUGUUUCGGAUGUCUCCCUUUUGAUUGUUAAGCUAUUUUUAUUAAGACAGUGAUGAAAUCUCAGCUCUAUUUGCAAAAGGAUUUAAAGGAAACUGUGGCUGGUAUCCUUUGGCUUAACUGUCUGUGCAAGUCCAUGGUACAAAAGCUAUGAACAAUGAGGGCUUUCAGUGAAAUUAAACAUGAAAAAAAAUAUUUUCUCCUACUAUUGAUGAGGCCAGUAACAGUGCAGCCUGGGAAACUGCAGAAAGCAGGUAUCUGGCCCCCUCUGUUGUUUAAAAACCUUC